CUUAGCGAAUUUAGUACCGAGCGUCUUAGCGAACAUAUUUUUAACGUCUCUGUAUUUAUAAUUACUUUAAAAUAUAUUUGACGGUUUCAAUAUCGAGUAAUCUCGUCAUUAAACUACCACACGUUUUACAACAUGUUCUCUUAAUAAGCAUUGUGGGUUUUAAUAUCGUUUAAAUGUGCGUGCCAUGAUGCAUCAAUGUCCUGAAGUUUUAUUACGUAUCACGACCUAAUCACCUCAGCUCAAAUGCAGCCCGCCCGCUGUUGGGAAAGAUGUACAUAUCACCACCACCAUUCCUGCCCGCUCGAGCGAUUCAAACGUGAAGAACCAUAUUGUGAAAUUACCAAAGGAUUUGGAAGAGCUAAAGAACAAAAAAUUAAAAUACAUUAUGGUUGAAAAGAAAAAACCAAAACCAUUAAGACUAUACGAGCCGCGAAUUGAAGCAGUAUAGGACGGUAAGAAACAUAAGACUGUGUCCAGGGAGAAAGCUGAAAGAGAAAAAUUGUUGCACAAGAAUAAAGAAGAAAUGAAAGGUGCUAUGCGUGAAAUACGAAGAGGCAGAGCUUUCUUAAAGAAACUACAAAUACUACAAAAUAAACAAACAAAAUAAACUACAAAAUAAAACAACAGAAUAAGAUCAAUGAAGAACGUAAGCGCAAGGUGAAAGAAAUCUUUGGCGAAGCUUCAGUGCAACAGAGUGAAUUAGAGAAAUUAAAACAGAAGAAGUAAUAGUAAUAGAAUAGCGGCGCAUUCCGGAGUCGGUGUAUAUUACAUUUCUUAGACAAUAUUGGUAUUUUGAAUGAUUUUGUGCGAUUGUACGCAACGAUGACCUCGGAUAUAACGGAUCGUGAUCAGUAUAUCAGCGUUUUUUAAGAUUUUUCUAAUUUUAUUAACUGUGAUAAAUGUAAAUAAACAUUUUCAUAACAAGUAAAUCUUUUAACCAAUAUCGUUUGUGAAAACAAUAUUGUAAUUCUAUCAGACUGAGGUAAUUCCUUAUGGAAAAAUCUAGCAGGAAAGGAAAUAAAAUUCUCACGUGCGAGGCUUAGUUCUGAAGGAAAACGAGUUCGAAUUUUUGUCGAGUGUGCUUGAAUUUCGCUAAUUAUAACAUAAAAUUUUCGUAUGACACUUCGUUUUUGCGAAAAUCGAGUUUGAAAAUUUAUUAAUUAUAUUUGAACAUUGCUAAUUCCAGUCUAGGUAGAAGUAAAUAAUCAGAUUAUUCUACAUAUGAAAAUAGGUCGGAAAUGUAAAAUAAAAUUUAUUCACAAGACGGUUUGUUUUCGAGGAAAAUAAAUUUGCAGAUCUAUCACUCGUGUACACUAGGACAAUUCUUAAUUAAACGCGUCCAAAUUCUACUUUCUUGAAAAUUAAGCGGAAAAACUAAUUGACAAAUUUUAUAUCAUACUUUUAAUUUAUUUUCGCAAAAUAACCUUCUUUUUA